GCGAGUCAGCCUUGCAACCUGAAGGUUGUGGGUUCAAGUCUCAGGUCUGGCAGGGAUGCAGGUCUGGUAGGUGGGGGAAGUGAAUGAUCAGUGCUCUCUCCCGCCCUCAAUACCACGACUGCUCCCCGGGCGCCGCAGCAAAAAAGGCUGCCCACUGCUCCGGGUGUGUGUGUGUUCACUUCGGUGUGUGCACUUGGAUAGGUUAAAUGCAGAGCACAAAUUCCGAGUAUGGGUCACCAUACUUGGCCACAAGUCACGUCACUUCACUUAUAUUUGGACCUUACUUUGUGAACCCCAGGAAGGCAGGGGAUAGCUGGAAAGUCAGGAAGUCUGGGAUCAAGGUUUUCAGUUUCAGUCUUAUGGUGUUUUUUAACAAGGCUCAAGAGGUCCACUUGGACAAAAGGUUCGUAUUUUCACAAUAUGUCAGCUACUCUUUUAAACAGUUUUUAAAAAGAGAUUAAACAGUGUAUUUAUUCUUCUGUUAUACUUACACCUCUCCAUCUGGAAAGUUAUCACAUUUGUUGUUGUAGGGGGAGAAAGGUGCAAGAGUAAACGAUGGACAGGAUGGAGUAAUCGUUUGUCUUUCUUUUUGGCUAAGAAAUAAAGACAUGACAACAGGAAGACUUAUUCACACAAUCCAGGUCCUCAGAUGAGAUUACUCAUGACUGUAGUGGCUCAGGUUACACCCUCUAACACACAGUACAGGAAAAGUGGAACAUUAGGGAAAAUGGACCAGAGAAAUUAAACUAUCAGGGUGGUAGUGGUUGUUGCGGUAAAGUUGCCCAACCGUAACAUAAGUAAAUACUUUUACGGUUAAUGAAAACCAGAUGAAAUAACUAUUUCAAUUGUUUGUCUGAACUGUGUUUGGUUUCAUUCUUCAUAAUUUAUAGAGCAGCUCCAGUCUGCAAGGAACAGGCUACAUUGACAGUGAAUGUUAGUGCUUCAGAAAUGUUUCUUGUAUUACACAUAACAAUUUAAUGUAGCACAAAUAAAAUCACAAAAAAAAAGUUUUUGUUUAAUCUUUGGCCUCUUAAUUAUGUAAGUCUUGUAUAUUACUAAAUGAAGUGGUUGAUACUUGUGAAAAGAUAAGAAAAUACUUUAAACCUCACUCAUGAUUCUCAAAAAACCUGAGAAGUUUUCUCUCACUCUCAGUUUCUGUCUAUAGGGGGAGCCUGGCAUGGUGGGUUUGCUGGGAUAUAAAGGAGGUGAAGGGUCUGAUACUAAACACCACUGUAGAUUAUCUGCAAAUGUCCACGGGAGAAAGAUUGUGGGCACAGUGUCCAGUCACACCAAAACAGCAAGGGCAGCCUGGAGCUCCUGGACAGAGAGGAGACCCAGGCUCUUAUAGUGCUCCUGGACAGAAGGUAAGUCGAUGAUGUUAGGAACCAAUUUGCAAGUAACGGCUUUAUUUGCUGUGAAAGAAGUUAAACAAUUAAUAAUUUAUGCAAUUGUCCAUACAUUAUGAUUUUUGAAGCCAGGUAAUUCAAUAUUUCUGCUUGAUGGCUGAAGCCCAGAUGAUGACAGUGAGCAAGACAGUUCAGUUAAGAGUUCAGAGGUCCAGUAUUUUUAUAUUCCUGCACAUGAUAGCUUUUUGCUUUGAGAUGUCUGAUUAAAGUUAAUAUAAAGCAUAUGAGGCAAUAUAGUUUGUUUUACAAACAGUUUUGCAGGCAAGUAUCCAUCAUUGAACAGCUGAUAACUUCAACGAAUAGACUUCAUGUGUGAACUAAAAUGAACUUUUGUGGUUACACAAUUGCACUUUUUGGCUAUAUAGUACACAGUUAUAGAAGGGAAUUAUUUAUAAUUGCACUAUCCAGUCUCACCCAGAUGAAGAUGGGUUCCCUUUUUAGUCUGGUUCCUCAAUACCUUAUAGCGUCUCAGGGAGUUUUUCCUUGCCACCUUUGCUUCUGGCUUGCACAUUAGGGAAAAAUUCAUAAAUUUAAAAUUUAUAUCCUGAAUGUAUAUAUUUCUGUAAAGCUGCUUUGUGACAAUGUCCAUUGUUAAAUGCACUAUACAAAUAAAAUUGAAUUGAAUUGAAUUGAAUUGAAGAAGGAACUCAUACAUCUCAUACAUGGUACAUAUCUAGUCUUUUUCUAAACAACCAAACAGCUACAUAUAACACUAUCUCUUUUGUUUGGGACCACCAUUAGGAAAUUAUUACAUGUAAAUAAGAAGAUUAAUUCAAUAAAUACAAAAAAAAGAUAAAUAAAUCAUAUCUGAGCACUUCAAGCUGGUGAUUGAACACAAACCAGAUUUCAUGAAAGCAAGUUCUUAGGAAAGCUUCAGCUUUUUUCAGAAUUCCACUGAACUGAGGCAAAGGGAUUAAAAGUCUAAUGUUAAUGUAAUAGUUUGAGCAUUAUUGAUCAAAACUAAUAAGAUCUAGUCUAAUAAGAUCUACUAAUUAAUACACUAUGAUUAAAUAAUUUGUUAAACCAAAUAUAGUUUACAGUCUUGAGAAAGUAAGAUGCCUGCCCAUAUGGCUAUUGAAUAAUGUAGUGCUAUUUGGUUUCUUAAGAACUUCCAGUGAACAGCACACUCAUUUAGCAGACUUCCCUAAGCUAAACAUCUGUGAAGCAGCUCCUGCCAGCAGAGGCUUUGGUGGAUUUAACUAACUAUGUAUGUUGAAAUCGUUUUCACUAAAAUUUCUUUGGACAUGAAUUUGAAUCUCUGUAUUGCUCCAAUUUCCAGCCGCAUCUAUCUAUCUAUCUAUCUAUCUAUCUAUCUAUCUAUCUAUCUAUCUAUCUAUCUAUCUAUCUAUCUGUCUGUCUGUCUGUCUGUCUAUCUGUCUGUCUACACUCACUGUCCACUUUCUUAGGAAUGCCAUAUUAAUACUGAGUAGGGCAGAAGUCUCAAUUCUCCCAGAGGUCUCAAUUCUUCAUGGCAUGGAUUCCACAAGUUCUGGGGAACAUUCCUGUGAGCAUAAUCAUGGGAAGUGGGGGCUGCUUCCCUAAGUCCCUGUGACACUUUUACAUUCAACUGCCCCUACUUAAAGCAUCUUCUCAUGUGCCUACCUUUGAUAGUACAGGAUGUUUUUACGUGAUUGUAUCACAUAAUUGCUGUAGAUUUGUUGGCUGCACAAAUGUUACAAAUCUCCUGUUCUACCACAUGCCAAAUUUGUUCUGUUGGAUUCAGAUCUGAGGACUUCCCAGUCCAGACAGACCCAGUUUGAGAUGACUCUUGCUUUGUGACAUGCUGUGAUAUCAUGCUGGAAGUAGCCAUUAUAAAAUAGGUAAAUUGUGACCAUAAAGGGAUGCAUGAAAGCUUGAAAGCUAGUAUUCAAGGUUGGUACACAAAUACACCACCAUGACCAGCCUGAACUGUUGACAGAAGCCAGGUUGGGUCCAUGGAUUCUUCCUGCUGAUGCUAAAUUCUGACCUUACCAUCUACAUGUCACAACAGAAAUUGAGAGUCAUCAGACCAGGUGACAUUUCUCCAAUCUUCAGCUGUCUAAUCUUCAAUCUGUCUGUCAUCUUUUGAUAAAUACAACACCAAAAAUGAGAAACCUUAAGAAUAUUGUAUUACGCCUUUAGGGAACUGUUCCCCAUAUCACAUGUCACUAACAUAUGAUUAAUCCUUCUCAAAGCAGCACACAGUGUCAUAUAAUCAGAGGAUCCUUUGAUGUUCGAGUUAUGCAGGAUGUGAGGUGGAUCAUUUUUCCUUAAUGUUCGUGAAUUAUGUAUUCCUUUCUUCCAACCACCUGUUAAUAAAAAGUGAGAUCAAAUUACCCCAACUUAAAUUUGCAACAGCUACAGUGAGUAUUUCUUAGUCAAUUUCAUGAAAGCAAAACCAGUCCAUGUGAGUCCUUGCCUAUCUGAGUCAUUAUGUAAUGCAGUACUUUACAUUAUAGUAGCCUGAAAUGCUGUUGUUUGUUAUGAAUCAGUUCUUGUAGUUAAAUGACUUUCCAUUUCCUGCUCUCUGUUCAGCGUCCUGCAAAGAGUACAAAAAUAUUUGAAUUGAACUUUCUUUCUUGCACAGAAGGUUUUUGGCAGCACACAGCUUCCUGGCACACCGGGUCUGAGAGGAGAGAAAGUACUAAGGGGACCUACAGGACUCUGUGGUGUCCAGGGUGAGACGAUAAAGCAGCUCUGUGCACUACACUCCCUAUAUGGUAGUGUUUAAUUUUCAUUGCAGGUUGUUUAACACUGCUGGCUUUCCUCUCUCGCAUCCUAGGGCAAUGUGGGCCCGGUUGGGGCUCUGGGACAUGAGGGUCUGGCUGAGGAAGUGGGCUCAGCAGCAAGUCCUCCAUUUAGACUGUUUGGUUUCCUUUGAUAUCCCUUUGAUAUUUUAUAAUUACAACUCUUUUUUCUGUUUCAUGACAGGGUCUAAGCAGAGUCACUGGGCUAAAAGGUUAUAAAGGAGAGCCAGGCAAACAUGGACUUAAGGGUUUUAAAGGCUCACGAGGACUAGAGGGAUUAUAUCCUGUAUAAUCUACUACAAUGACAUAUCUAAAAGCAAAAAGUGAGAUGGAUCUAACAAACUGGGAGAACCUGGAUAUCUAGGCCUUCAGGGAUAUCCGGGUUUAAGAAGAUGAAGAAAGAAUGAUCACCCUGGUAAAGAUGGCCCUACUGGCACAAAGGGGUAUCCUGGACUUGAUGGAGAAAUUGUAGGUUUUGCUGGCCUUCAGUUCCUGUCUUGCUUAUAACUCAAAAGGUUGUGAUCAUCUUUUAUCUUAAUUCUGCCUCUUUGCCUGCUGUAGUUAUGCAAUUCUGUAUAUUGUUAUACAAUAUAUUUUCAGAUCAGCAAUUUUCCUUAUCUAAAUUAAUGCUACAUUAUCAGGCCAUUAAAUGUACAGCAUUUAGCAGACAAUCUUAUUCAGAGCAACUUACAGAUGUGCUUUGCAAGAGUUCCUCAUGAUUUUCCUCAAGCUAAAGCCCUGUUACAUAAUAGUUAGUGGAUUUUUUUCUUUUUUUUUUUCUUUAAAUAAAUAAGGUGAAAGCUCAUUUAACACACUCCUGUUUCUUUGGUCCAUCGUUUGGAUACAUAGUUUAAACUAAUCCAUUUAACUCAUGAUUCUAUGUUUGAAGUACUUAGAUGAAUAAAGUAUUUCUAAGGACUUUAAAGUCUUUAAAGGUAUAACCAUAAUAAGUGAGCUUAACAAAUGGUUCUCAGGAAAGUGAAAUUCUGGAAAUAAUUCAGAAACUUGCUGGAAGUGUUCAUAAAACAUACACAGCAAGCAUUAUUUUAUUUUUUUUAAUCUUACUCCAUUUAUCUUUCACUGCAAUUUGAAACAACAUUCUGAAUUAUUACUAAUUUUACUUCCUUCAUUUUCUUUAUUACAUACCUUAAUGAACUAAUUCAUACUGUUUUAACACUUCAUUAGUAGAAAAUUUAGAGCCAAAGCAUAUACAGGUUUGUUCAUAGAGAUUAACAGGUUGUGCCUUGCUUACACACACACACAAAAAAAUGCAAACCUGUACAACUAGCAUCAAUCCAACCUCUUAAGUUUUAAAUCUAUACACAUUAUUCACAGAUUGCACCUUGAAUAGUCAUCAUAGAGCUAUCAUAUCAUGCCUGUUUCAUGCACGGCUUUUUAAACAUCUAAUAAUGUGAUGAAUAUGCAGUGAAAGAUGUCAUGCUUGUAGUUCUAUCAUUAAAAUAUUUAUUAUUUAUAAAAUUAGACUUUAAAAUUAACAUUUUUAAAGUGAACUUUUAACUGACUAGAAUUCAUGUUCUCAAUUCAGCAUGCUUUGCUAAGUCUGGCAAACUUUAGAAACUGAUAUGACUCAUUCAGGCCUGUUGAUAGCAUACUGCACACAGCUCAUUUAUCCUUUUUAUAACUGACUGGUGGAACCGUAAAUCUGCCACAGUCUUUGCCUUUGCCUAGACAGUGUAGAUCUCCCGCAUAAAAGCCAGAGGUAAGGUUUUUCCAUACCAUGCUUUUCCACACCAUUUGUAUUGCUUUUAAAAGUAGCACCGAUUUUAUGACAAAAUAAUUCCUCAGGUGUAUUUAUGCGUAGAAUGAGCUUGGCUCAUGAGUGGGAGUAGUCCAGUACGGUCACGAAGGAACUGAGGAGCUGGUGUUUAUACACGAUUCAACAUCACCACUCUGUCUCAGCUCGAAAGGUCAGAUCUUCCUCUGCCUUCAUUUUCUGGCACAGCUGCAGGUAAUAGUAAUAGAUUCUAUAAUGAAUGGCAUUCCUCAUGAAAACUAAAAUUUACAUAACACAAAUAACAUGCAUAAGCUUAAUAUGUCAGCCAGUGCAUAUGGGGAUGCUCUGUAAUAAGUAAGGAAUAAAACAUGGAGCAUGAUGUUAUAGGAAAAUAAUCAACAACUUGAAGGUGAUUAUCUUAUAACAGCACAUCCCGAAAUGUUUUAUUUCU